rnacentral:rRNA from 1 species
CCCUUAGAUGUUCUGGGCCGCACGCGCGCUACACUGAAGGGAUCAGCGUGUUUUCCCUUCCCGAGAGGGACGGGUAACCCGCUGAACCCCCUUCGUGGUAGGGAUCGGAGCUUGCAAUUGUUCUCCGUGAACCAGGAAUUCCCAGUAAGCGCAAGUCAUAAGCUUGCGUUGAUUACGUCCCUGCCCUUUAUACACACCGCCCGUCGCUACUACCGAUUGAACGUUUUAGUGAGGUAUUUGGACUGGGCCUUGGGAGGUUUCGGCCUCCCUUGUUGCUCGGAAAGACUCCCAAACUUGAGCGUUUAGAGGAAGUAAAAGUCGUAACA